rnacentral:rRNA from 1 species
GACGAACCGUGCGAACGUUAUUCGGAAUCACUGGGCUUAAAGGGCGCGUAGGCGGGCACGCAAGUCAGGGGUGAAAUACACCAGCUCAACUGGUGAACAGCUUUUGAUACUGCGUGCCUCGAGGGGGGUAGGGGCAUGUGGAACUUCCGGUGGAGCGGUGAAAUGCGUAGAUAUCGGAAGGAACGCCGGUGGCGAAAGCGACGUGCUGGACCCUUUCUGACGCUGAGGCGCGAAAGCCAGGGGAGCAAACGGG